rnacentral:misc_RNA from 1 species
GGAGAUUGAUGGGUCUUUGGAUGAUUGCAAAUCCUUAGGAGCAGCAAUUGGGUUUGCUUAAGAGGCGUAGUGCAGUUUUCAUCGAGCGGAUAAGAAUAUUGUGGGUCAAACUCUAAAUAUCACAUGGUGAUGAUGAUACUCAUUUAAACCAUGUACGUUUUAUAGAAAAAGGAAGGCAUCUGCAGAACCUGAAAUCCAAGCAUUGGGAAACUUCUGAGAGGUUG